UUGACAGCCCUGGAGACUGAAGCCCUCUGUUUAUCCACAGAGCAGAUACAGCGCGGGCAGCGGCAGUGGCAGGGGCAGCUUCCCCCACCCUGCCUCAUCCCUGUGCCUGACCGCUGAGUUGGAGGAACCACCUCUAAAGGUGAGAGGGGGAUUGUUCAGUCUCCACGCCCAUUCAAUCCUCGGCCUCG
rfam:Colius striatus contig11070, whole genome shotgun sequence.